CUAAACUAAGAAAGCUCACUGCAGAUUUGCCUGGGGAGGGGCGGGGCGGCACUGAAUCAGGGUUUUGGGAAGCCAGCAUGAGUUCCUAUCACGGCUUCCUCGUGAGCCUCUUGGGUCCCCUCCUUAUUCUAACAAAGGUAGUCGCUCCAGGUGUCUGCCCUUCCAUCGCCGUUGGGUCCUUGGGUCACCCUGAGGGUUUCCGGGCAGUGGACUCAGGCGUCCGACCCCACACAUGACACAACCUUCGUUCCUUGUUGGGGACCCGGCCAGGGCCGAUGAAAUUGCUGACCAUGCUUUGUUUCUCUCUGACUUAUCUCCCCUGCCCCCGGGUCUGGACGGUUUCAGGACCGGGCUUUUCACCCCGGACUUGGCAUUCGAGGCCAUUGUGAAAAAGCAGGUCGUCAAGCUGAAAGAGCCCUGUCUGAAAUGUGUCGACCUGGUUAUCCAGGAGCUAAUCAAUACAGUUAGGCAGUGUACCAGUAAGCUCAGUUCCUACCCCCGGUUGCGAGAGGAGACAGAGCGAAUCGUCACCACUUACAUCCGGGAACGGGAGGGGAGAAC
rnacentral:sRNA from 1 species